GACGAACGCUGGCGGCGUGCUUAACACAUGCAAGUCGAACGAUGAAGCCCAGCUUGCUGGGUGGAUUAGUGGCGAACGGGUGAGUAACACGUGAGUAACCUGCCCUGGACUCUGGGAUAACCCCGAGAAAUCGGAGCUAAUACCGGAUAGGACCUUUCCCUGCAUGGGGUUUGGUGGAAAGUUUUUCGGUCUGGGAUGGACUCGCGGCCUAUCAGCUUGUUGGUGAGGUAAUGGCUCACCAAGGCGUCGACGGGUAGCCGGCCUGAGAGGGUGACCGGCCACACUGGGACUGAGACACGGCCCAGACUCCUACGGGAGGCAGCAGUGGGGAAUAUUGCACAAUGGGCGAAAGCCUGAUGCAGCAACGCCGCGUGCGGGAUGACGGCCUUCGGGUUGUAAACUGCUUUUGUACGGAACGAAAAGCCCUGGGUUAAUACCCUGGGGUCAUGACGGUACCGUAAGAAUAAGCACCGGCUAACUACGUGCCAG
rnacentral:rRNA from 1 species